GGUAAGAUGGCUGAGUAAAGCAAUAGACUGUAAAUCUAAGAACAGAGGUUUAAUUCCUCUUUUUACCA
rnacentral:tRNA from 1 species